GAUGAACGCUGGCGGCGUGCCUAAUACAUGCAAGUCGAGCGAACGGACGAGAAGCUUGCUUCUCUGAUGUUAGCGGCGGACGGGUGAGUAACACGUGGAUAACCUACCUAUAAGACUGGGGUAACUUCGGGAAACCGGAGCUAAUACCGGAUGAUAUUUUGAACCGCAUGGUUCAAAAGUGAAAGACGGUCUUGCUGUCACUUAUAGAUGGAUCCGCGCUGCAUUAGCUAGUUGGUAAGGUAACGGCUUACCAAGGCAACGAUGCAUAGCCGACCUGAGAGGGUGAUCGGCCACACUGGAACUGAGACACGGUCCAGACUCCUACGGGAGGCAGCAGUAGGGAAUCCUCCGCAAUGGGCGAAAGCCUGACGGAGCAACGCCGCGUGAGUGAUGAAGGUCUUCGGAUCGUAAAACUCUGUUAUUAGGGAAGAACAUAUGUGUAAGUAACUGUGCACAUCUUGACGGUACCUAAUCAGAAAGCCACGGCUAACUACGUG
rnacentral:rRNA from 1 species